GGAACAAAUAUGUGUAGCCGUGACAUUUCACUUUGUAUUAUGUAUUCUGUUUUAUUUAAAAUGUCAAUAGAAAAUCAUAUAGAAACAUUUCUUGGUGGUGUUAUACAGUUUUGUGGCCAACAGUAUUAUUUGUGCUUGUCCUGUGUAGGCCAGGUUAAUGAAUAUGCAUUUCACGUGCAUUUCAUGUUUAUGGGAAUCUUUGUUAUAACACGGAUGAUUUUGAUUGGUUGAUUGGAUCGUCUGCUUCAACAUGAUCAUACCUCGUGGUGUCUUGUGAGUUUCAUUGCAUUCUGAGGGCUGAUAAUGUGAGGUCGAGUCAGAGGAGUCACCAGAAUGGAAACCUUUCCUAAGUGUUCUGUUUGCCAUCAGCAGUUUACCCUGAAAGGCCCCGCCCCUGUCUACACGCUGUGUGUGAGACGUGUGUGACAUCUGCAGUUGGGUGUGUGAUAUCAUGCUCUACAUGUCAGAGGGAGGUCAACCUCAAAGACACAAGCCUCCAGAAGGAUGGAGCGAGACAGAAGGAAAUAUUCCACCUGACAGUCAAACAUCGCCCUACAGAGCUCCUCUGUACAACCAGGCUGUGUGUUGGUGUCGGGAGUGUGAAGAGUUCCUCUGUGAGUACUGCCUGAACAUGCACAGCCGUGUUAUAGCUACCAGAGGACAUGUUGUUGAAACCUUUACGGAUAAAACACGGGGAAGUAUGUACGCUGAAUCACAAUCGUUCACACUGGAGAGAUCAAUACAAGACGCACCGCACAUCAAUUCCACCAGUGAUGAACAGAACACCUGCAAACGGUUUCAUCACAAUGGGCCUUGAUAAAUUGAAAUCCGACAUAUCCGGGUUUGGGUGUGUCAAUGGAUAUGGCUCAGUACAAACAGGUACUUAAUUACUCUGAAAGUAUCUCUUUAUAUACCAUAUAUUUCCGAUUACAAUUUUUUUUAAGUUUAUAGUAGGAGUAAAUAUGUGAUGAUUAUUUAGGUGCAUUUACCUUGAUGUAGCUUUAAGAUGGGAUGAAGAAGAUGUUUGCUUUGUUCAAUCCUUGCAACAAGCCAGUGUGGUUUAAAAGAUUUGAUUUAUAAUCACUGGUGGUCAUUUUACAGGCAAAAGAACACAGACAGAUGGAAAUCAUCUAAUUGAUGCUGAGAGCACACACGGGCAUAAGUAUUUCUUAAUCAGUGAGCAUGAGUGUAUAGUUAUCGUUGUUUUCUAGGCAUUUAACCGUUGCUUAUAUGUUAGAUUUUAAACCAACCUACUGUUGUUUCAAUAUUGAUGAAUUUGGACAUAAUAUGUGUUUUUUUGUUACAAGCUGAAGUUCUUGGAGGUUCCUAACGAUCCAGCACCACUACCACGGUGUGCGUGGGUGUAUGUUGGAGAAGCUGGGCGUGAAACCUUCACACGUGAAGCAGGGACGACGACGACGGUGACACUACAGUGUGAGUACAAUCAGAUGCUAACUGUCUUCAACACUUGCUGAAACGACAUUGUCCGGACUUCAUAAACAGGAUACCAGACGAGGCGUGAAGUUCCGGGUUAGAAUUAGUCGUCAGCAUCCCAUGCUGUACUGGGCGUGACGUACACGGGAUGACGUACACGGGAUGACGUACACUGGAUGACGUACACUGGAUGACGUACACGGGAUGACGUACACGGGAUGACGUACUGGGCGUGCUGUACACGGGAUGACGUACACGGGAUGACGUACACGGGAUGACGUACACGGGAUGACGUACACGGGAUGCUGUACACUGGAUGCUGUACACUGGAUGCUGUACACUGGAUGCUGUACACUGGAUGACGUACACGGGAUGACGUACACGGGGUGACGUACACGGGGUGCUGUACUGGGCGUGCUGUACACGGGAUGCCGUACACUGUUUUUCGCCGCUUUUAGCAUAAUUGCAGCAAAAUCACGACGGGGGACACUAGAAAUGGGCUUCACACGUUUUACCCAUAUGGGGAAUUGAAACCGGGCCUUCGGCGUAACGAGGAAACGCUUGAACCAGUAAGCUACCCCACCGACCCCACCAUGUAGAGAUUAUAUUGUGUGUUUCGUGAACCGUCCUAUUUAUCACAUACAUCGUUGGUUGUCGGCUUACCAUUUUAAACAAUUACACAAAAUAGUACCGUAUGACCAGAAAUUAUCGAGAAUUUUUGGAAUAUGUUUAAUUGGAUGUCCAGUAUAAACAACCUUGACCAGCUAUCAAGUGCUUGGUUUCA